rnacentral:rRNA from 1 species
UACGAAGGGGACUAGCGUUGUACGGAAUCACUGGGCGUAAAGCGCACGUAGGCGGCUUUUUUAAGUCAGGGGUGAAAUCCUGGAGCUCAACUCCAGAACUGCCUUUGAUACUGAGAAGCUUGAGUCCGGGAGAGGUGAGUGGAACUGCGAGUGUAGAGGUGAAAUUCGUAGAUAUUCGCAAGAACACCAGUGGCGAAGGCGGCUCACUGGCCCGGUACUGACGCUGAGGUGCGAAAGCGUGGGGAGCAAACAGG